rnacentral:pre_miRNA from 1 species
CAACUACUCCCUCUAUCCCAAAUUUCUUGUCUUAGAUUUGUCUAGAUACGGAUGUAUCUAAUACUAAAAUGUGACUUGAUACAUCCGUAUCUAGACAAAUCUAAGACAAGAAUUUUGGGACGGAGGGAGUACUNN